rnacentral:ncRNA from 1 species
CAUCGCGAGGUGGAAUCUGAAGGAAGCCGGAUGCGGGAAUAGACCGCGGGCAAACCUCUGGCCUGACGAACAGAAACCACAUAUAAAGUUGAACAUGAGGGUAAGACUGCAGUGCAAGCCGAAGCCAAAUAGCUACACGGAAUCAUGGGCAAUAGAUGUGGCAGGCAGAUGGAGGGAAAGAAAC